rnacentral:rRNA from 1 species
AAAUCUCCGAGCUUAACUCGGAAACUGCCAUUGAUACUAUCUGUCUUGAAUAUCCUGGAGGUGAGCGGAAUAUGUCACGUAGCGGUGAAAUGCUUAGAUAUGACAUAGAACACCAAUUGCGAAGGCAGCUCACUACGGGAUUAUUGACACUGAGGCACGAAAGCGUGGGGAUCAAACAGGAUUAGAUACCCUGGUAGUCCACGCCCUAAACGAUGGAUACUCGACAUACGCGAUACACUGUGUGUGUCUGAGCGAAASSAUUAAGUAUCCCACCU